UACGUAGGGCGCGAGCGUUGUCCGGAUUUAUUGGGCGUAAAGAGCUCGUAGGCGGCUUGUUGCGUCGUCCGUGAAAACCCACAGCUCAACUGUGGACCUGCGGUCGAUACGGGCAGGCUUGAGUUCGGUAGGGGAGACUGGAAUUCCUGGUGUAGCGGUGAAAUGCGCAGAUAUCAGGAGGAACACCGGUGGCGAAGGCGGCUCUCUGGGCCGAUACUGACGCUGAGGAGCGAAAGCAUGGGGAGCAAACAGG
rnacentral:rRNA from 1 species